GGAAACAGGAAGUAUCUCUCUUCCCCUCCGCUCCUGCUCCAGCGGCACAAUGUGAUCCACUGGCAAGGAGGGACGCCAAUAAGACAUCUGAUAGAUAAGUCUUAUAAAAUAUAUAGAUUUAUGAUAAUUAAGAUUGAGCUAGCAGAUGAGAAUCCUAGUCAUUGGCCAAGCAGCAUUGUACCUAAUACAAGUUUCUGUGUAUUAAUUUGGGCCUAACUCGGGCAGGUGGCUGGGUAAAGCUCACACAUGGCGGUGGGCCUCAGGCGGCUUUUGGCGGAAAGACUUAAUGUAACAUAAUUCUUUUAGUUUUAUUUAAAACAAAUACAUAGUUUAUAAAAUUUUUAUUGAAAUGCUGAGGAUAAUACCUAAGUCUUCAUGCAUGUUUUGACUAUUUAAUAAUACAGCAGUUAAUAUGACUUAGCAAAUACGAUUUAUGUUCUCCCCAAAAUUUGAACAUUCUGUAAUUUUUCCCCAAAUAUGUUUCAGAGAAAAAUUUGCAUAGAUAUAUUUGCUGGUUGGUAUGCAAAUUUUUAUUUCCACUUUGAAUUGGUCUAUGAUCUUUUCACUUUUGUCUACCAUUAGUAUUUUCCAUCUAUAUUCAAAGCCAUUGGAAUAUAACUAGAACACACCAUAAAGUCAAGAUCUGUUGCAAAUUAAAUUUCACUUAAUAUUGGUAAUAUCAGCAUAAAAAUAGGGGUGACUCAGGAAUUGGAGUUACUCCUUAACUCUUAGUGAAUAUGCUGUAUCUAUCUUUCUGGUUUAGUUUUCAAUUUUCUGAUCUACUAAUUUUAAUAAGUUUAUUCAUUUACAAGAGCUGCUGUAAGAAAUUACCAGAGCAUCGUGGAUUAAAACCAUUCCUGAGUCUGAAAGCCAGAAUCAGGAGUUGGCAGGAUUUGUUGCUUCUUGAUUUUCUGUCAGACAACCUAUUAUCUAACUUCUGGCAGCUGCAGGCCAUCUAGGGAAGCCUCCACCUCCAUCUUCAUCUGAUUUGCUCCACAUUUCUUGCUAAAAGCCACAAGAUCAUGCAACAAUAUACAGCUAUCAUAUUGUUAUGCCCAGUUUGUGGGACACCAAAAAGUCCACCACCAAAGAGACAAUUCAUCAAAUGGAAAAACAAAAGUUUCAUUUAUUGGCAAGCUACAGCCUGGAUUCUGCUGGCUCAGGAGCAAAUGGAAUACAGCUUACAGGUCUCUGGGCUAUUCAACCUGACAUUCCUGAUCAUCAAGGCAGUGUUGGACAUAGACUCUCUCAAGUGUCAAGGGCCUAAAAUUAGACCAGUCAUUGUUGGCAACUCCCACAUGUACUGCACUUUCAUUACCCCAGGACAUUUUUCAGGCAGUAUAAAUGGUUUGUCCUCCCCAUCUUCCUUUGUGUCUGAGAGUAUCCAAAAAGAUAUUAAAUUCUCCAUCAGUAAGAAAAUCCAAGCUGAGCUGUUUCUCUAAUAAUGUCUCUCAUCCUGAGGUCAAGAAAGCUUCUAAUCCAGUCAAGUGAUUUACAGAGGUCCAUCUUUUAAGGAAUAUUUGAGGUUCACUUAGAAAGAUCAGCAACAGGCAAAUUACAGCAGAGUGGUUAAAUAUGUACAGAAGCAGCUGGAUCAGAAACUCAGAAGGGACAGACUUCAAACCCUAACUAUGUCAAAUGGGAUAAAUUGUGACCUCAAAUUACAAAACAGCCAUUUAAAUUUCUAUGUGAACCAAUAAACUAUUUUAACUAAGACAGCAUAAUGCAUUCACAUAGUUAAUGUAAAAUAGUAAAAUUUUAAUUAUUACUAUUUAAGUGAAUUAAAAGGGCAAUAUAUAUCCAAGUAGGCCAACAGAAAUCAUAAAAGGUUAUGAACCAGUCAUCAGUAGCAAUGUCCUGUGUUCAUCUGUACUACACUAACUUCUAUGCACUAUACUUUUUUAAUCUUAUGUUUUAUUUAUCCUUUAAAAUGUUCAUACACAUAUACAAUAUAUUUUGAUCUUAUCCAUGCCCCUAAUAUCUUAUU
rnacentral:lncRNA from 1 species